UACGUAGGGGGCUAGCGUUGUCCGGAAUCAUUGGGCGUAAAGAGCGUGUAGGCGGCCCGGUAAGUCCGUUGUGAAAGUCAGGGGCUCAACCCUGGGAUGCCGGUGGAUACUGUCGGGCUAGAGUGCGGAAGAGGCGAGUGGAAUUCCUGGUGUAGCGGUGAAAUGCGCAGAUAUCAGGAGGAACACCAAUUGCGAAGGCAGCUCGCUGGGACGUAACUGACGCUGAGACGCGAAAGCGUGGGGAGCAAACAGG
rnacentral:rRNA from 1 species